GAUGAAGAACGCAGCGAAAUGCGAUAAGUAAUGUGAAUUGCAGAAUUCAGUGAAUCACCGAAUCUUUGAACGCACAUUGCGCCCGCCAGUAUUCUGGCGGGCAUGCCUGUUCGAGCGUCAUUUCAACCAUCAAGCCCCCGGCUUGUGUUGGGGACCUGCGGCUGCCGCAGGCCCUGAAAAGCAGUGGCGGGCUCGCUGUCACACCGAGCGUAGUAGCAUACAUCUCGCUCUGGGCGUGCUGCGGGUUCCGGCCGUUAAACCACCUUCAUAACCCAAGGUUGACCUCGGAUCAGGUAGGAAGACCCGCUGAACUUAAGCAUAUCAAUAAGCGGAGGA
rnacentral:misc_RNA from 1 species